GUUACAUUGCCUAUGGCGGUAUUUUAACUUUCAAAAUGUAGAUCAUGUGUGUUGCACAGAGUUUGUUUUCUGAAUGUUAAUGAAUCAGACAAUGGAAAUUCCAAUUCAUUAUGAGGCAUCGUUUUAAAGAAAGACCUCAUAUCAGCUGCUAUUGCUGUGUUCAAAGUUCACUGUUAUCUAUAUUUACUUUGCAAGUAAGUCAC